UACGUAGGGUGCGAGCGUUAAUCGGAAUUACUGGGCGUAAAGCGUGCGCAGGCGGUUGUGCAAGACAGAUGUGAAAUCCCCGGGCCUAACCUGGGAACUGCAUUUGUGACUGCACAGCUGGAGUGCGGCAGAGGGGGAUGGAAUUCCGCGUGUAGCAGUGAAAUGCGUAGAUAUGCGGAGGAACACCGAUGGCGAAGGCAAUCCCCUGGGCCUGCACUGACGCUCAUGCACGAAAGCGUGGGGAGCAAACAGG
rnacentral:rRNA from 1 species